UACGUAGGGUGCAAGCGUUGUCCGGAAUUAUUGGGCGUAAAGAGCUUGUAGGCGGUUUGUCGCGUCUGCUGUGAAAUUUCGGGGCUCAACCCCGAACUUGCAGUGGGUACGGGCAGACUAGAGUGUGGUAGGGGAGACUGGAAUUCCUGGUGUAGCGGUGAAAUGCGCAGAUAUCAGGAGGAACACCAAUUGCGAAGGCAGCUCGCUGGGACGUUACUGACGCUGAGACGCGAAAGCGUGGGGAGCGAACAGG
rnacentral:rRNA from 1 species